UGCGAGGUGGAGUAGACGGUAACUUAUCAGGCUCAUAAUCUGAAGAUCGUAGGUUCAAUCCCUACUCUCGCAU